CAGCUCAUAGCAACGCCAGAUCCUUAACCUACUGAGCAAGGCCAGGGAUCAAACCCACAACUUCACAGACACUAUGUCAGGUUCUUAACCUGUUGAGCCACAGUGGGAACUCCAGGUUUGCAUUUCUUAAUCCCCUACCCCCAUGUCCCUUCCCCUUUUUUUUUCCCCCCCCCAAACAUGUCAACCCAUUAAGCUGAUACCAUGACUGUGAGUUCUGGAUGACAGUUUGAAAAGCCCCGCUCUAGAAUGCCCCACUUUAGUUCUAAUUUUAAGAUUGGGGGGUGGGGGGCUGGGGAGGAACAUAUCAGAAAGUUCUCCCUUACAUCUAAUUUAAGUUCCUUGGGCUGUCAGGUUAAUUAAAAGGCUGGGUGUCCCCAGGGCAGGGGCAGCAGUGUACCAGAUCAGCUAAGGGCCUGGGCUCUGGAAUCAGUAGACCUGCAUUCAAAUACUGACUGAUCUGCCUGCCUGUUAGCUGGGUGAUUUCUCCAGGUCUUGGCCUAUAAAAUAGGAGAUAAUACCACUCACCCCUUGGGUUUGAACCCAACUAGUAUUCAUAAGGAUGCAGGUUCCAAUCCUGGCCUUACUCAGUGGAUUAAGGAUCUGGCGUUGCCGCAAGUGACAGCAUAGCUGCAGAUAUGGCUUGGAUCUGGUGUUGCUGUGGCUGUGGUGUAGGCCAGUAGAUGCAGCUCUGAUUCGACCCCUGGCCCAGGAACUUCCAUAUGCUGCAGGCGCAGCCCUAAAAGGAUGGAAGGAAGGAAGGGAGGAACAAAGGAAGGAAGGAACGGAAGGAAAGGAAAGGAAAGGAAAGGAAGGAAGGAAGGAAGGAAGGAAGGAAGGAAGGAAGAAAGAAAGAAAGAAAGAAAGAAAGAAAGAAAGAAAGAAAGAAGAAAGAAAGAAAAGAAAAAGAAAAGGAAAGAAAGCGAGAGAGAGAGGGAGGGAGAAAGAAGAGAAAAGAAAAGAAAACAUCCUUGUCUGCACCCACAGCAAUAUCAGGACCGUCUCAACUCCAGGUCUGCCUCUCUGAUGGGACUGUAAGUUCCUGGAGGCUGGAAGUAAAGGGACUUGCUCAACUUCACGUGGCAAACGUACACGGAAUUGGAAUCCCCGAAGAUCGAAAAUCACUCAUCACUUUCCUGGUUCCUCUGAACUUGCCCCACACUUGUCUAGAAGCAAACUUGGAAGGAAGGCGGGAGGGAGGGUAGGAUGAAAGGCCUCCCAUUACGUAAUCAAAAAUGUUAAGAGUCAGUCUGCCGGAUGCUUAAGGAGGCCGUCCAGGAGGGGGGACCUCAAACUCAGACUUUCAAAGUCAUCUCAAGAUAACUCUACAGGCACGGAACAUGUACGCACUAAAAGCAUUAAUGUGAACAAUGUGUACAUUUUAAACACCUGUUGCUAAAAUCCUGUUUUGGCGUUUCUUCACUGUUUUUUAAAUACCGGCUCUGGCCACUUGGGAGUGGCCAUAAGGAUUCCUCAGAGCUCUGGUCCCAGCAAAUGAAGCAAAUGUCAGCUAUCCCACCCAAAAACCAAAAAAAAAGGCAGGAGGGAAUCUUGGCAAAAUUCUAGCUGCGAUUACAGUUCUUUAGGGUCUUUAUGCUUCGUCCUCUCUCCCGUGCUUUGGAGGAGGGGUCCCAGGAGAAGUGAGUUACUAAGGCUCUUAGCCGGGAGGAGGGUCUCAGGUCUCUGCUCCUGUGGCGGAGGUCUGUGGUUUCUCCACGUCCCGCUGGCUUGCAACAAAGACAGACACGGAGGACCUGUUCAUUGAGUCCUGGGUGAUUUUAUGUACACUUGUCUUCUCAUUUAUAUCUCACCCAGCUCUUUUAGAUAUUACUAUUAUUAUUACUAUGCCCAGUUUAUAGGCUAUAGACUCAAUGAGGUUAAGUUAAAAGCCAGGAAACGGCUGGGAGGGAAACUAGCUUGUUGUGAGACCUAAAUGAGUUAAUGUACCUAAAAGGCUCGACACGCAGUAAAUCAGCAACUAGCAGCUCUUACUAACAUAAGCAGAAGCCAACCAGCUCUGGGUAAUACAUUUCAUUCUUUAAAAGAGAAGAGGGGAGUUCCUGUCGUGGUGCAGUGGAAACGAAUCCAACUAGGAACCAUGAGGUUGCCGGUUCGAUCCCUGGCCUUACUCAGUGGGUUAAGGAUCCAGCGGUGCAUGAGCUGCGGUGUAGGUCGCAGACGCCACUCGGAUCCCCCAUUGCUGUGGCUGUGGCAUGGGCUGACAGCUGUAGCUCCAAUGAGACCCCUAGCCUGGGAACCUCCAUAUGCCAUGGGUGCGGCCCUAAAAAAGGACAAAAGGCAAAAAAAAAAAGAGAGAGAGAGAGAAGGGGUAUAGAACUCUACUCAAUAUUCUGUAAUAACCUACAUGGGAAAAAAAUCUGAAAAAGAAUGGAUAUGUGCAUAUGCAUAACUGAAUCACUUUGCUGUAGACCUGAAAUUAACACAACAUGGUAAAUCAACUAUACUUCAAAAUAAAAUUAAAUUUAAAUUUAAAAAAAAAAAAGGUUUCAAGAAGUUAGUGAGGAACAACAAUUUUCAGAAAAUUCAAGGAAGCAGGGUGGGAAAACUAAACUCCCCUGGCUUCAGGACGGUUUCCGAAACCUCCCCACCGCCAGUGCCCCUCCAGGAACAGAGAAGUGGCUGCUGUGUCCUGGUACCUCCAGACUCACUCGUCAGACUUUAUAAAUACACCACACGACCGACCAGAGAGUGCUCAUUGCCAAUCUCCUGGGCAAACAAGUCCAACAGGAUUUGAUCCGGAAAUUAAAUGUCCAGGCAGCCCAGCCACACUCAGUUCAAAAUAGAUCUUCGUGACCUACUUAGCCUUCUAGUACCAUUCUCAAAGCCAAGGCCAAGCAGGCAGUGAGGUGGGGCUGCUGACUUCAGCAGGGCCCUGCACCCUGGCUCCCUGUCAUUUGAAACACGCCCUGAAAUAGUGAUGGCCUGAAGGACCACCUUGAGGUAGCCAGACAGUCACCCUAGCUUUAAAACAGCUGAUCCAAAAAGGUUGUUAAAAAGCAAAGAGUCCCAGAAUCAGGCUGACUAUUCACCCCUCUGACCAGCCUCAAUGAUGCAUUUUUAUUUAUUUGGAAGAAAGGCUGUCACCUCUCUUGGCAGUGGCUUUUCAAGCCACUUAUCCCUCCCUUGCAGUUGUUUCUGGAGUGGAUCUGUACCUUCUCCAGGACGCAGUGGGCUCUUGCAGAGCGGAGACCCUGUCUUCUUUAUCUCGAGAUUUCAGUGUCUUGCAGGGAGAAGCAAGCACUGCGCCCACCGUGCGACGGUGAGUGUCUUCCCUCCCACUCCCGUGCUCGGCUCUUCAAGACCAUGGAACAGAAACCCAUCGACUGCACUUGCUGUAAAGACCAGGAAGACAGACAGGACCAGGGAAGCUGCUGCAGAGUUUCAACCACCACGGAGCCACAAAACGAGCUCCCCCAUUACUAUUCAUUCCACUAGGGAGGCGUGAGUCUUGGGAAAGGGGAAUCCAAGGACCUUGGCUGAAUGAUACGCCAGCCAAAUCCCAGAGCGCCCCAACACACAGCACUACGUAGACAAAGGGACACUCUAUUCCACCAACGAAGUGAUGCUGGAAGAAGCUGAUGGCCAAAAACCAAAGGAAACAAGCCAAAGCAGACCACCCCUCUUCACAUCCAAAUCUACCCUCUUCUGGUCUUCCCGGGGCAGCCCCUUCCUAGAAAUUUACUCCAGAGCUCCGCUCCCUGACAGCAUGACACGGACUCCUUGCUACAAUCACGGGAUGCAAGGAGAAGAAGCCUUUUUAUCACCCACAUAGAAAUAUGGAAAUUGAGGCCAAAGCAUGUCCACCACAUGGUAAAAGCAGGACGACAGCACAAACCUUCUAACUCCAAGCUCAAUGCCCCUUCUCCAAGAUCACCCCACACGGUGCACCUAGACUCAACGAAGCCAGCUAUCUGAGCUCUAGGCCACCGCUCUUUCCAUUGCCACCCCCACCCUCGCCACCCCACCGAGCACCUUCCCCACACCGCCCCCCCAUGGCCCUCUCCCCCCCCAACAGCCCUCCCCCCCACAGAGCCCUGGCCCACAUUCUUCUCCCCCACACGCUCCCACCUGCUAAACAAAGACAAACAAGAGCAGAGAAAUUAUCAACCCAGUAUCCAUCAGCAGGCGGCACUUAUGUCAUCCACUUGUCACCACUCAUGCCCCAAGCCAAGAAGACCACCCUGUAAAUACACAAAACUCAACCCUAGAACUUUCAAAGGAGAGACACACUCUAGACCCACACUGGCUUUCUGCAAUCGAGUGAGCACGAGGCAGGGUAAGUAGUCAGGGACUCCAACAGCCACAAACCAGAGAGCCCGGCUCUCAGCAUCAGCACCCUGGGUCCACAUCCUGUCUCUGGAAGUCCCUACUCUCUGUGACCUUAAGCAACAUUGUUUCUCUAAGUCUCAGCUUCCUCAUUCAUAAAAUAAGAGGUUCAAAAAAAGGAUCUCCCAGUGACUGUACUUCACGCCACAGCACCUUAAAAUGGCUAAAAAGCUAAGUUUUAUGUUAUGUAUAUUUCAUCAGAAUAAAACAAAAUACAUUAGCAUUUGCAUUUUUUUGAAAAAAGAAUCUCACAGGCUUAUAGUGAGGAUUGUAUAAGGCUGUACUGGCAAGUUCUUACAGUGUGCAGUACACAUGAAUCUUAAUAAACAGCUAUUUAUUAUUUAUAGUAAUUUUAACAGCUUUCAUUAUCUAGACAAUGCAUGCUCAACAUAUAAAACGACAAAAACUUGAAAGAUAAAAAAAAAAAAUUUUCUGUAAUACCAAAAUCAAGAGACAAUUGCUGAAAUAAGAUUCUUCACAGUGUUUCUUUAAUGCACAGACGUUUCUUACAUUUGGACUGCAAUAUACAGACAACCCUGUCAUCAUGAUCCAUUCUUUUCUGCCUUACUACUAAUUGCAAAAACAACUGUCACGACAACAUCCAGAAAUAAAGGGACUUUGUUCAGGGCAAGGAUCAGAAGUUGCAUGAAACUUGAAACAGGAACAAGGAGCUCACGCUGAACAACUGGGCACGCCUGCCCCGGAGUCAGGGUGGGGGUGGGUCACGCAAACCCCCGCCACCUGUCCCUCCUUCCCCAUCAAUGUUCACUGGUUUUUUGGGGGGUGGGCGGUGAGGGACAAGCCAAGCAGGACAAGGGCUGCGGAGGGGCUCAUGGGAGCUCGGCCCGUGCCAGGCUCCCCAGGACACAGAGUUCACAUUCCAUUGCCCUCAGGGAGCUCCCCGGGUGAGGCGGGAGUGGGUGCAGGCAAAUCUCCCCCAGGCCCCAAGCAGGGGCUGCGGGGGCGCAAGCGAGGAGACACGCAUGACUCUGCAUCCCACCCCAGUUAGGGAUGAGACAGCCGAGGCCAGGGAGGCAGGUGACUGCUGCAAGGCCACCGAGAUGAGGCCAGUCCCAACAUGGGGCAGAAGACGGAGCUUCCCAGGUCCUGAGCUGUGGCAAAGAUGCCGCCUGUGGGGGCCCCAAUUUAUAAAAGGACAAAUCUGUCCGGCCCACAUCUAGUCGGGCAUGCCCAUCCCCAGGUCCUUAUCUACCCAGUGCGUGGGACGCAUCAGCAGAGACAAAGGCCACCAGGCACAGGACAAGGAGGUGGUUUUGUGGGACACCUGGUGCCAUGC
rnacentral:lncRNA from 1 species